UGACACUUGCUUGCAGCACUGUAACGUAAAUCGUUAACACCGUGUCCUAAAUAGAUGUGACACGCGGUAACAGGUUUCUUUUCAGUUUAUGUCCUUACGUUAUAGGACGGGUCAUUAUAAAUUAUGCCUUUCGAUUAUCGCAACGCCUCGUCGCGUUUGGUUAAGCACAUGGUGGAACGGUAUGCACAUCACUGUACCUAACGUACUGUACACCUGUGAGCGGCAUGACGAGACAAAAGACGUUAAAACUCAUUAUUAAUCGGUGAUGCUGUACAUUCUGGAUGAUGCACAGCCACAUUUUAUAAUAGUCCUACUGUUUUUUAUUUUCGUGUCGCGCCGCUCGCGUUCAAUAUAAAGUUAGACAAGACAAUUAAUUACUGGGAGAGUAGUGGUCUAAUGGUAAGAGUCGAACUUCACGAACCUUUCACUGCUUGCAGUAAGGCUAAAGUGCUACGUGAAUAAGAUGGGUGUAGUUUUGUGCACAUUUUUUGCACUAUUGAGUUAUAAAUACUGCCCAGUAAUAAGAUGUAAAUCACAAUUCUUGUGUCAAUGUUUGUUUGUAAUCUUUUUCAGCUAUCCAUCUGAAAAAGAAAAGCUGGCACUCUCAAAGGAGAUUGUGUUGUUGGAUUAUGGUCUCAUUUGGGCAAAAAGAGGGACAUGUACCGUAAGGAUGCUUUUACAUACUUCAUUUAUGUGUAUGAAAUUACUUACUUGACAAUGUGUACAAAAACUGUACUUGACUCUAAGUAAGUGCUAUUUUUGCAUUGAUUUAUAAAAAUAAGAUUACAGAACAUCAGACGGUAGCUUCAACAGAGUUGAAGUGGGAGGACAUCAAAAAUAAAGAAUGCCAAUGACCAAACCUUCAGUCAUCAAAGAAGAUGGAUACAGGGGGACAUCAAGUUUUCCAGACUUACCGAUGGGAAAGAAGAAAUGGGAAUGUGACAAUUAUUGAGAAACUCAGGGAAAAAGCAUCUUUAGAGAAGAAAAUGGACAUCAGACAUUUAUUGAAGAAAGCUGACAGCCAACAUAAUGAUGAGAGCUGUGUUAUACAAUGUUAAGGAUACUCGUUCAUCUUCUGCUGUUUGAAUUCUGCUGUGUCAGUCCUGUGGGACUUGAUGGCGGCUGGUACCAGUGUGACGUCUUUGCUUACUAAAUGAUCAAAGGGUGUCUGAAAUCAGCUCAGCCACAGUUGGUUUCCAACGGUUCUUCAGGACAUGGAGGCCACUACGUAACUGUUGCAAUGAACGAUUCUUUUGCCUUUCCACCUGAUGUUGACAAUCUGACCUGUGCGGUACUGAAAACAACUUGCACUGACAUAUCUUAAAUAUAUCAGUGCCCUUUGUUUUGCCUCAAAAUGCACACCAGUAAUGUUUUUUGUUGAAACCAGUUAUAUUUCCUAAUUAAACUAAGGCCUAGUCCUGGAUUAAGCUAAUCCCCUGUCCGGGAAACCGCCCCUAAAUGUUUUGUGAAGGAAAUUUCUUUGAAUACACUUGUCGUUCAUUUUAAGUAUUUUUCUAAAUGUAAGAUAACAUGUUAAUGUUUCAGGACAAGUUAAAUUUUUUUGAUAACUUGCAUGUUUGAAACGAUUUCAGACAUUGUUCUAUUCAACAUGUUUAACACAGUUGCUUUUAAAUUCAAUUAAUUAUUUUAUAAAUAGUGUUUUAAAACGUAUCAAUGGAAUGUAUGUUUGAAGUAAUUAUACUUGCACUUACAUUUAUUUAAUGGGACACAAGGCAGCAUUUUUAUGUUAAUAAAUCAUCUUCGUAAGUCGGUAUAUGGUUAAAUGACUCAUUACAUGACGAAUGAAGACUCUCUCGCCCGCCCCUACCGUCUGUAGGAAGAAUACCCCACUUGCAAGUUCGCUGUAUCCGACCCGGUGUCCUUCAGUCUCGUAAAGUCUCAGAUAUAGAAAGCAUUUACUCCCAGACACUAGGGGGAGCUAGUAGAGAAAUAAUACUCAGACUUGCCUUGUGUCCCUUUAAAUUAGCAUACAUCUAGCAACAUAAAGUACUAGCAUAUUUUCAUGCAAGCAUUAAUUGUCAAAUAUUUGUUAUUUUACAAAUAAAUAGUUUGUGAACAAUA